GUAAGUUUAUUCAACAGACAUAAAAUUACUCUGAGAAAUUGCUUACAAAAGUUUACAAAUGCUUUCAAGUUCUGUAGAAAUCUCAUUACAGACAGGUAGUAAACAGUUUGCAGGCAGGCCUUGGCCCAUGGACCACAUUUUCGGUAACCCUGGGCCAUAGGACACAGCCAUUCAAAAUAAUGUGCCUUCAUUUCAAACUUGUCAUCAUAUGAACAAUAUUAUUCAGCAGGUUUCCAAACUGAGGAUGCUGUGACUAAAAGUUAUCAUCUGUAAAGUGUGUUAAUAUUCUAUACACUAGUUUUGUGAAAUAUUUUAAAAUACCACAGAGAAGGAAAAGAAGGAAGGAGGAAAAAAUAAAAUUGGCGAUCCAUUUCAUAACUGCACCAAAAAUUAUUUGAAUAGGGCUUUUUCAUAAAAUAUCACAACCAAGUGUCAAAAUUCCACUGAGGAGGGAAUAAAAGAACACUAGGUUAAAUUUACCAGGUGAGAAUUUAGUGAGGUGCAGCAGUCCCCCUUUAUUCACAAGGGUUGCAUUUCAAGACUCCCAGUAGGUGCUUGCAGUGGGGGGAUAGUACCAAAUCCUAUAUAUACUAUUUUUUUCCAAUAUAUACAUACCUAGGAUAAAGUUUAAUUUAUAAAUUAGACACAGUAAGUGAUUAACAAUAAUUAAUAUUAAAAUAGAACAAUUAUAGCAAUUUACUGUAAUAAAAGUUAUUUGAAUGUGGUCUCUUUCUCUCUGUCUCUCUCUUUCAAAAUAUCUUAUGUUCAUAAAAAUAACCUACUGCGGUUGACCGUAACUGAAACUGCAGAAAGUGAAACCACAAAUAUGAGGGAGCUACUUUAUAAAUAAGAAUGUUCUUUACAACGAAAACUGUCAAGUACUUCAAUGUAAUAGCUGUCAUGCCAAGAAACCCUGCCUAGUAGCCUAGCAUCAUGAGACUUAACCUUGCCUAUUAGGAAGUCAGCCAAUUUCUGCCUAAGAUUUAAUUAUUCUUCUAACAGAACCCAAACUUCUAACACAACCCAAACUCCAAAACAUGACCACGUGGCUAAUCUGCCUAUGGUGUGCCAAGAACUUCAAGGCAGUAAAGCUUAGGAAUUUAAGUACCAGAGAACACGAAACCACAGACUAUUAAAAAAUAUAGUACAGACAGUCCCCAAGUUAAAAUCGGGUGUGUUUCAAAACUUUCUUCAUUGGCUCUUCAGAACUCAGAAUACUUUUCCCAUAAUGAUGAUAUUAUAAACUAACAAAAGGCUAAUACAUGCAUAUGUAAGAGAACUACUGUGUACUAGGAAUGAAAAAGUAUAGAAAAUUGCCAAAGUAUAAACUUUUUAAUGUUCAAAAAUAUAUUUAUGAGAAUACAUAGUGAGCACAUUUCAAAUAUUUAAACUUAAUGAGGGAACCAUUAGGAUGGUAAAGGCUGUUUAAAGAAGUAUAUGCAAGACUGGUGUAUCGAAUUAGUAAAAGAAAAGAUGCUAAAAUAAGAUUGCUAAAUUAGAUACUGGGUAGAUUAACAGCUCACCAAAGUGGUAUAAAAAUUAUUUUAAACUGAGAACAUCUUAAUCUACAAUCACCAAAAAAUAAAAAUAAAACAUUAUCUACACUUAUGCAGGUACUCCCAAAAAUACACCUGCCUUUGACACUACCCACACCCCUUCACCCAGGGAGUUUCCUGUUUCAGAAAAUACUGACACUCAGCACCAGGAAGUAUGAAUUUAGCUGCCUAUUAGCAUCAAAAAGCCAAAUAGAGCCUUUCAUACUUUCCUAUUGAUGCCCUAAACCUCCCCUCCAUUUUUGCUAAAUUGGAAUACAAACCUUUAUCUCUGGCUACUAAACAAGUUACUCAUUACUGAGUACUUCUGUAGGCACAAAAACUUUUGUUCUGUUAAUCUAUUCUUAGUUAAUCCAAAGGCCUAGACCAUUCAAACCUAAGAGGGUUAGGGGAAAGUUUUCCUCCCAACAGAGCAAAACCGGCUAAUGUCGUAAAGAGCUAUAAAAUCAUAACCUCUGGAUUAUGUUUUCUACUGAAGGGGUUCAAAACAUGCUACCCUCAAAAUAUGCCACUUGGCAUAUUGCUUAUUUCAAGCUAAAGUAAAUUAAGAAACAGCCAAUGCAGAAAAAGCUCUUCACUUCCCCCUCACCUGUUUAAAAUAAUGUAUAAACUUCCCCUUCUGUAAGGAAAAUUUACAUUUACAAAGAAAAUUUCUAUUAGUAAAGGUAUCCAUACCAGGAAGAGAACAACUCUAAGACAAUUUUUAUUGCCUGAGAGACUCUUAUCCACAUAAGAAGGUAAACUAUAUUCACCCUACAUUUCCUCCUCUCACCUUCCCAUCAUUUGCCUCCACCACUCCCCAGAAGUUCCAAAGCCCUAUUUUUUCCUAUAGCUUAUGCUGACAUAUGUCUCAGUUAUCUGGGUACUUCCUUGAGUCUCAUUUUUAGUGGGAUUCCCACGCAUAUGUCCAUAAAUUAAAGUUAUUUUUCUCCUACUAAUGUUUUUUAUGUCCAUUUAAUUCUUAGACCAGCCACAGAACAUAGAAGGGUAGAAGGGAGCAUUUUUUCCUCCCCUACACAAUCACACAGAAAUCAAUUUCAUCUCUACCAAAUGAAAAUUAUUUUCAACUCUGUAAUGAUAGAUGUUAAUUCCUAGAAUCUAGUCCUAAUCAAUAGUAAAUAGUAAUUUUAACAAAAGAAAUGACAGGAUUUUUAGGUGCUGCUUUCCAGGUGGAAAUUUCUGCGGCCGGCAGCACUCCUGCCCCAGCUUCACUCCACUCAGGGCUCACUGCUAGACUUGCCCCACAUACUCGGCCCAGCAGGCUGUGCUGUGCUCAUGCUGCCAACCUGGAUCUCACACCCAUCAAGGGCAAGCCAGGAGCACCAGCUGCUACAGCAGUAGGGGGCAACUCCAGGGGCCACCUCUGUACAAGUCUGCAGCUGGACCAGGAAUACUGCAAGUGGCCUCCACCUUGGGCACCAGCAUCUGGAUGAGAGGAACAUGGUGGUGCCUGAAAAACUCAGAGACAUCAGCAACCGUGGAACCCAAAGGGGGUGUUACAGCUCCAGCUUGGGGAGUCCUGAGGUCUGGGCUCCAGAAGGGUUGCCGCUCUUCUCUCCCAUGGACCAGAGAAUGGGAGCGUGUCAAUGCCCACAGCUCAGUGAGCCAGCCAGGAACAUGUUACAGUCUUUUUUGCACCAAUCAUUCAGCAGGUCCCAGGUUCUUGUCCUACGUUCGAGAAGAAUGAGUUAUGCAGCCAACCAGAGGGUGACCAAGGCAGAGAAGAGUUUUAUCAAAUGGCAGAAGAGCUCUCCACAGAGAGGGUUCCCAAAGUGAGUAGCCCCUACCCAAAGUUGGGUAGUCCCUCCAUGUGGCUGAGUCUGGGGUUUUUAUAGGCUCAGAAUGGGGGAGAUGUGGGCUGUAGGUACCCUUGGAAAAGGCAACAUUUGAUUGAUUAAAAGGAAGUUUUCAGAAAUAACCAAUCAGAAAAGAGCGGGCACACAGAAAUAGUUCUCGCUUAGGUUGUGGACUCUAUCUGGAACCCGGAGCCAGGUUUUCAGGCUUCAGGCUGUUUUUGGCUUGAGGGUCAGGUUUCACUGCAGACCCACCCCUGUCUGCCUAGGAAUAUGUCUGCCUCCUGCUGUUAUCAGUAACAUCAUUCUAAAGCAUCAGAUGUCCCUCAGGUCAGCUUAUUAGACAAUGCUUUUAUAUGAGUUUGAAAGGACACAACUAUCUCUACGUUUUCUAAGUCUGGAAUAGUUUUCCUUAAUGAUAAAUUUCUAAACAGUAAAAUUCAUUGAAAAAUUUUAAAAUUUAUCCUAAUUUAGCAUCUUUUAAAAUGUAGAUUAUUUAAAUAAGAUGGUUGGGGCAUCAUUAUUUUUAUUGUUUUCCUAAGUUGGGCUUAUUGAGGUACAUAUGGUAAAUUUCACCCAUUUUAAGUGUACAGUUAUGAGUUUAGGAGGUCAGGUAACCAACACCACUAUCAAGAUGUAGAAUGUUUCCAUCACCCAGAAAAGUUCCUUUGUGCCCGUUUGUAGUCAAUUCCCUCAGCUUUCUCUAGUCCGUGGUAACUACUGAUCUGUUUUCUGUUCGUAUAUUUUCUCUUUUCCAGAAUGUCACGUAAGUAGAAUCAGUUCUCAUCAAUGCCAAUUUUUGCAUUUGUGCUUUAGCUUUGGUUAGUCUAUUCAUUCUGCAAACAUAAACAUAUCAGAAAUAUGCAUAUGCAUUACACAAAUAGGCAGAAAACUAGAGGCAGCAUUUUGGUUGUUGGGUUUUUGUUCUUGUUUUUGUUUUUGCUUGAGACAAGUCUCAUUCUGUCGCUCAGGCUGCAGUGCAGUGGUGCGAUCAUAGCUCACUGCAACCUCUGCCUCCUUGGCUCAAGUGAUGCUCCCACCUUAGUCUCCUGAGUAGCUAUUACCACAGGUGCAUGCCCCCACAUCUGGCUAAUUUUUAAAUUUUUUUUGUAGAAACAAGAGUCUCACAUGUUUCCCAGGCUGGUCUCUUUCUCCUGGGCUCAAGCGAUCCUCCUGUGUCGGCCUCCCAAAGUGCUAGGGUUAUAGGCAUGAGCCACCAUGCCCAGACUAGAGGUAGCAUUUUGAACUAAUUAGUCAGAAUGCAAAUACAACUCUGUGAAAUAGCUGAAGUAUUGUCACUAAAUUUUUAUCAAUAAAAUAUAAAGAGGAUCAUCCCUAAGAAAAAAUCUAAUUUAAUAGUUGCAUAUAGCAGGGAAUACAAUUCAAGUAAUACCUGCAAUGUUAACUUAGUAAACUAAAUCUCGUUAGGAAGAUUCCCCUCCAUGACACUAUUAUGGUCACUGUCCUCUGUACAUACUGCCACGGCCACAGACACCACGUAAACCUGCCUGAUACCCUUACCAUCUUAGGCAGCAACCAUACAGCCUUCAGGGAUGAGCCCCAGGAAGAGGGCUUCCAACAUGGAAUUUCCCACCCUUGCUUUAUUACAUGGCUACUGCAGAGCCCAAUAUGAGAGAAGUCAAUCAAGUGGUACCUGAAGGCAGCAAGUACACUACAUUUUCUGAACUCUCUUGUCAUGAAUUUUUCAUUGCCUCGGUCUAAGCUAGUCCUUGUACUGGAAAAUAGGCUGCCUGGGAGACUUCCCAGAGCACUGACUAUGCCCAGAGCACUGACAUAAUGACAUAAAAGAGUGCAUUUGUAUUGACUGCCUUCCUACAGCAGGCAAAAUGGUUGUCGCAAAGUCACAUCUUUCCUUUUUCUCAGAGUUGGCAAUCUCUGAAAAGUGGUUUGUGAAGCUCGCUCCACCUAGAAGCAGGGUGAUAUAUGGGAAGAAUAUAAAGUUGAUGGUCACUCCUCUAUGUUCAAAUCCUGUCCGACUUUAUAAACUUGCUCAAAUUACUCCUUGAGUUUGUUUUCCUGAAUGAAAAAUGGGGAUGCUAAACACAGUAAACCGUUUGCAGAAAUGGCCACAGUAAUUCUUACCAGCCCUGUACAUGUGCCCACUUAAAUGUGAAUUUGCCACUCCUUUUAUAUUGAAGUGGAAUUUAUUUUUUUAUUCCUUAAAUCUAAACUUCAAUUUGGGCUUGAAUAGGGCAUUAUCAAAUGUAAUGCAAGCAGAGGAUUGAAAAAUAUGUACACAUUGGAGCUUGAGUUGUCUUGCUGUUAGAAACCCUGAGACCACCAUGUGAAGAAUUAUCAGCUAGUCUUCCAGAGAAUGGGAGGUUAUACAGAGAGAAGUCAGCCAUUUAAGCCAUUUUAGCUGCCUCAAAAGUCCCAGCCUUCCCAAACAUCCCAGCCAACCAUAGAUACCCAAAAGCUAGAUAAAAUGUUUAUUUUAAGCCACUGUGUUUGGAGUGAUUUAUUACAUAGCAAAAGCUGAUACAAUAAAAUAAUGAUUACUAAUGUGCAUAAAACGUGUUACAUGGUGUUAGUUCAAUAAAUGACUACACAAAUAAAUAUUAAGUGACUUAGUACAAUUUAAGCUUGUUGUAGAAAAGGAAAAAUUAUCUCUACCACUGAAAAUAUUUCCUAUCACAUAAUAGCCUCCUAAUAAUUUUUUGAAUACAUUGACAGAGACUAGUUGCCAUUCUUUCUCACAGCACAGAAUUGCUUUAAUGUAAUGAAGAAUAUAUUUCAAGAUCUCUCAAGGGCCUGUAGGGUAAAGAAGGAAAGCUUCACCUUUGCCCUCUGAAGGUUUGCUGAAAAUAAACUGACAAAAGGCAGAUUAAUAGGAGAAAAAGUCAUAAAAAAUGUAUUUAAUGUGCAUAAGCAUGGGAGAAUCACAGGAAAAUGAUUGCCCAAUAAUCCAAUGAGGUCCGGAUGCUUAUAUAGCCUUCUUCAUACAGCACGGAGUAAAUAACAAAGUUCCUUUGAGCUCGGAGGGAGGUGGUGAGAAGGCAAGGGGCAGAACUUCACAGUGAACAAAGGAUAGAAAAAGAUUAUAAAGUAUCACCAAAGUUCUGAAAUGGAAGUCUUAAUGGAAAGGACUGCUUCUUUACCCAGGAAGAGGGUAAGUUUUGAAGAGUGUCUCUGUCUCUCAGAAAUAAGAUCCAAGGGGAAAAAGAAGUUCGGUAAGGUUUCCAGUAACUUCCAGCUAUAACACAAAAUGGAGGGAGUCAGGAUGUUAGAUAAGCCAACUGCUUUGUAAGAUUUUACUUUGUUAGAUUGGGAACAUUAGUAGUUUUCCCAAGCUCGUUAUCUAUGCUAUACUUAUUUCUAAAUAAGAAUAAAACCCUUGAAAUGAAACAAGCAUGUAUAAUAUACAUUCUUUUUUGUUUGAUUCCUUUUGCUCAUCAUUAUGUCUGAAAGUCUUAUUCAUACUGCUGCAUGUAGGUAUAAUUUGUUCAUUCUCACUGUUGUUUAGAAUUUAAUUGUAUGAAUAUAUUACAAUGAUUUGUAAUAUGUUUGUCCAUUCUGUUGCUAAUGGACAUUGGGUUGUUUCCCUGCUUUAACUGUUGCAAACGGUGCAACUAUGAAUAUUCUUGUGAGUAUCUAUUAGUGAAACUCCAUGUGGUAGAGAGCUUCUAAAACAGUUCUUAAUGGUUCCUGCCUCUGGCUAUUCUUGUCCUGUGUAAUCCCCACCCUUGUGUGUGAAGUGGAUGUAGUGAUUCAUAACAAACAGAAUAUGGCAAACAUGAUGGAGCGUUGCUCUCUAAGAUUAGCCGCUGCCUUGUUUUGAGCUGCCCUAUGGAGAGUCUCAGUGGCGAGGAAUUGAGGACAGACUUCUGUACGGACCUGAGGUCAUCAUUCCAACAACACAUGAAGAGCUGAAUCCUGACAACAACUUCAUUGGUAAGCUUGGAAGUGGAUUUUCCCCCAAACAGGCCUUGAGGUGACCACAGCCCUGGCUGACUGCAGCCUUGUGAAAUACCCUGAGACAGAAGACCCAGCUCAGCCACACCUGAACUCCUGACCCACAGAACCUGCUAUAAUAAAUGUUGUUUUGGCUAUUACGUUUUGGAGUGAUUUAUUAUUAGAUAACUAAUACGUAUGCAUUUGGGAAAGUAAAGGCCUAAGAGUAUAUGGAAGUGGAAUUGUUUGGCCAUAAUCUAUGCAUACGUUCAGCUUUAAUAUAUACCACUAAAUUGUUUUCAAAAGCAGUCAUUGUCAUGUACACUCCCAACAGCAGUGUGUGAGAGUUUUUAUUGAGUUCUACUGAAUGAUCUUUGUUAUUAAGCUUUUAGUAUAUGCCAGCCACUAAGUGCCUUACAUGUGCUGUUUCAUUUAAUCUUCACAACAGUUCAGUGAGGUGGGUAUUACUGUUUUCUCCAUUUUCAGAUUAAGUGAACCUGCCCCUGUCAUUUACUAAAAAGAGGCAAGCCAGGAUUUUAACCCAUGUCCAAUGCUCUUAGCCAUUAAGCCUCUCCUGAGACAGAUUUCAAUGCAAUUAUAGCCACAGAGAAAACACAUGUGAAAAAUAACCAUCAUAGCGCACUAAAGGAAGAGCAGCAUUUCAUCUUGUGCAUAAGUUAACCAUCAGCACUGCACAGGGCUGAUGAGGAGAAGAGGCUUCCAGACGGAGUUAGCAAAGGAAGAAAGAUAGGCAAUUUGGAAGGAGGGAAAGGAUGGCCCAGGAAGGCUGGGAGGUAAAGAAUAUGCAAGCAAGGUCAAGAGCUCUAUGCAUUUGGCUCACUCUGCCCUCUGCAUUUCCAGCCUCAUGCAGCGAUGUCAUCCUUAGCAGUGAGUUGUCUACUUUUUCCGUAGCUCUCCCCAGAAUAACACAGACCCCAGGGUCUUAAAUGAAGGAGUGAUUUUUCCAGAUAUUUCACCUUUCCCAAGGGAGAACACUACUCAGUUGUCUCUCCUUGGAACUCCUUCUUUUGCUGUUUAUUGUUUCUGAGUGUGAUUUUUUCCUUUCUUCCUCAUUCCGCUGGUGCUUGUCACCACUCUGAUGGGAAUUCCUCUUAAAAUGCCGGCAGUCUCUUUGAUAAGCCUCGCCUUGCAGACCUAAGGUAAACUCCUGGAAGGAUGCCCUGAACCUCUGGCUGUCUACCCACCUUCCACAACCCACAAAUGGAGUGUUUCUGUGUACA
rnacentral:lncRNA from 1 species